GUGCCAGCCGCUGCGGUAAUACGUAGGUGGCAAGCGUUGUCCGGAAUUAUUGGGCGUAAAGCGCGCGCAGGUGGUUUCUUAAGUCUGAUGUGAAAGCCCACGGCUCAACCGUGGAGGGUCAUUGGAAACUGGGAGACUUGAGUGCAGAAGAGGAUAGUGGAAUUCCAAGUGUAGCGGUGAAAUGCGUAGAGAUUUGGAGGAACACCAGUGGCGAAGGCGACUAUCUGGUCUGUAACUGACACUGAGGCGCGAAAGCGUGGGAGCAAACGAGGAUUAGAUACCCUGGUAGUCCACGCCGUAAACGAUGAGUGCUAAGGUGUUAGGGGUUUCCG
rnacentral:rRNA from 1 species